rnacentral:lncRNA from 1 species
CAGAAAUAUCACAUACAUGCCUACAGCCAUUCCCACAGCAGGAACCUCUGAGGAAGUGUCGCAAUCUGGUAGUCACCUUCUUUCCAAGUUUGGUGUCAUCAUAGCUUCCAGGAAUUUCUCUCUGGCUGCCCUCUGUCUUUCGUUCAGUUUCUUCCCAAACAGACCAGACUGCUCCUCUUCAGGAGAAGAAAUUCCGCUGCGUCUUGACAUCUGGACAGGCUCAUCAGUGACAAGAAGGGAAAACACUUACGACAAGGAAAUAGGAGCCCAAAUGAUUGCCGAGCGGCGACCUGAAAUUUGAAGAAAAGAAUUUCUUAUCUGACGAAAAGUGUCGUGAAUGAUAUUUUCGUCCCAUCGCUCUUCUUGUGAAACAUUUGCGGCGCAUAAAUUAUGCGCUCAGGAGAAGAAUAUAAGAGAGUCUAGUUCGGGGAGUGACGUAAUUUUAGAUGGGAUACGUCUCGUGGCGAGGACCAACGACGACGACGUCUUGCUGCUCCAUGGUGUCCGUUUCUUUUUCCAGUUAGCCAAGCAUCAAUAAUCUUACCCCCCUUGGAAGUUUCAGCUGUUUCGAAAAACUCGGUCCUGCGACAAAAUGUCCUUUUCACAGACCCGUAUGAGGACAUAAUUCAAUAUGGAACCAGCUACAACCCGCGCGACCCAUUGAGGGCCAAUACACACACAAAAAACAGCCUAAGAAGAAGAAGUACAAGAAGGAGCAGAGAGAAGACUCGGAUCAAGAUUCCCGGAGCGAAAGGAACGCCGACCGCUGGAACAAAUAAACCCCGUCGUGAAAAUCGUCUCGUGAUGCACACCGUCUCUUCCCAGCACAGGGGGGAUUAUUGUAUGUCUAUCGUUAAAUGUAAUCUCUUCAUCCAGUUAGAACCGUGUAGACCCUAUCUAACCAGUUAACUCUAUAUUUUUCUUGAUGAUUGGAACAUGAAGGCUCACAGCAAUGACGACGAUGAUGAUCAUUACGGUACUGGACACACCUUGACCUCAUAACAGAAAAAGGAUUUCUCCGGCUGGAUAUUUCCAGUCGAUUGAAUUUAAAAAUUUUUAAAAUGAAAAUUUUCAUCCCAUGACU